rnacentral:rRNA from 1 species
AGUAACACGUAAGGAACCUACCGAUAAGCGGGGGACAACAUCCGGAAACGGGUGCUAAUACCGCAUAGGAAGUUUGUUCGCAUGAACAAACUUAGAAAGAUGGCUCUGCUAUCACUUAUCGAUGGCCUUGCGGUGCAUUAACUAGUUGGCGAGGUAACGGCUCACCAAGGUGAUGAUGCAUAGCCGACCUGAGAGGGUAAUCGGCCACAUUGGGACUGAGAUACGGCCCAGACUCCUACGGGAGGCAGCAGCA